GGCGGCGUGCCUAAUACAUGCAAGUAGAACGCUGAAGGAGGAGCUUGCUUCUCCGGAUGAGUUGCGAACGGGUGAGUAACGCGUAGGUAACCUGCCUGGUAGCGGGGGAUAACUAUUGGAGACGAUAGCUAAUACCGCAUAAGAGUAGAUGUUGCAUGACAUUUGCUUAAAAGGUGCAAUUGCAUCACUACCAGAUGGACCUGCGUUGUAUUAGCUAGUUGGUGGGGUAACGGCUCACCAAGGCGACGAUACAUAGCCGACCUGAGAGGGUGAUAGGCCACACUGGGACUGAGACACGGCCCAGACUCCUACGGGAGGCAGCAGUAGGGAAUCUUCGGCAAUGGACGGAAGUCUGACCGAGCAACGCCGCGUGAGUGAAGAAGGUUUUCGGAUCGUAAAGCUCUGUUGUAAGAGAAGAACGAGUGUGAGAGUGGAAAGUCACACUGUGACGGAU
rnacentral:rRNA from 1 species